GACUCUUCUGAAGGCAGUGAGCUAUCUCAGUUAAUUCACAGUCAGUUACAGAUCAAACUCCUUGUUCUACUCUUUUCCCCAUUCUCGCUACUGCGCUUGAACAGCACUUAA
ensembl:misc_RNA Y_RNA Y RNA